rnacentral:lncRNA from 1 species
CCCGGGCGCGCCCCCGCGGCUUUGCUCCCUCCCGUCCGAGCCUCCGGGCCCCUGCGGGACCGGGGCCGGCUCAGCACAGGCAAUGAAUCUGCUUCCUGUCCUGGCCGCCCCCGGCACGUGCUUGGGCCCGGCCUGGGGUGGGAGGGGGCUCUUCCGCCCAGGGUCAGGGCCAGAGGGGAAGGGGGGGCAGAGGCUGGGGGGGACCGGAAGGCCCCCAGGGAGCCCCUAGUCCGGGCGCUGGCCUGUCCGUGAGAACGGGGAGGGGGAGGGGAGAGCAGCCCCUGCCCCCCCCGGAGCUCGGAGGCCUCGCCGGGGACAGAGGCACGAGGGGCCUGGGAGCCCGGAGAGACCCCGGGGCUGAGGGAGACCUGAUUCAGGGCGGGCUUCCAGGAGGAGGCGAUGUCUGAGGGAACCCAGGCUCCUUCCCCGCCCAGCGCGACACUUCCAGGAACAUCUUCAUGCGCAUGCGCUGCUCGGACUUUUCCCAUUUUACAGAGAAAGCAACUGAGGCAGACGGGGCUCCCCCCCCUGGAAGAGGGCCCGCAUACAAGAGGCGCUUAAUUUGUGUUUCUGGAAAGAAGAGAGAGGAGGGCUGCUGGGAGGCAAGCAGCCCAAAGGGAAGCCCAAGAGCAGGGGGGGCCGGGAGCCUGGUUCUUGGCUGCCCGGCUCUGGCACCUCCUCCUGGAAUGAAGGAAAUCAAGGGCAUCUCUGCCCCCAGAGUAUUUCCUGCCCAAAAAGGACAGCCCGCCGGCUCCGGGAAGAAUCUGGGCUUGUUGGGCGGUUCCCUGGUGAGAGGCCUCUUUCUCUCCAAAACAAGGCCCGAGUGGGGACAGCGGGGGCCGGGCGGCACCGGCGGCGCUGGCUGCUCACACAAUUGAUUCUCUUCAGCCUCCGCUGUCCCCGCUUGACCCCAAUGACUCAGGGAGUGGCUACAAGACGUGGGGAGAGACACCGACUUUAGCAACCAAGGGAAGGCCCGAGGAAGGCUGGGACCUCUACAACCAGCUAUCCCCAGAGGGAAGAGGGCCCCCAGAGGGGAAGACACUGACCCCAGAGCCCAGGGUCACUUCCCCAUCCUACAAAUCAGUGCCCGGGAUUUCAAGGUCACAAGGAAGUGAGGCAAGUGCAGAACAAAAAUGAAGGCUGGACCAGGGCAAAAGAGAGGGCAGUGACAAGGGCAGGUGGGAGGAUGGCAACAGGGAGAGGGGCUCAGUGUGAGUCUGCUUGUAGGUUUUUGGCCACAAAGGGCCCAAAGCAGGGAUGGGAAGGUGAUCCCCAAGAGAAGCAAGGAAAAAGCAAAGGAGCACCUGGCUGCCCUGGGUGAAUCCCAGGCACCGGACCCAGAGGAUCCAGGGGUCCCGAAAGAACCAGCCGAUGUGACUGCUCAGCCCCGGCCAGGAAUAUCUGAAGGACUGUGGAAAAUGGAGGAGGUAUCAAGGUACCAAUGAUCUGGCAAAAGGCAAGGAUGGUCCUAUCAACAAAGGAAGGAGAAAAAGUCAGGGGACUAAAGAUCAGGGACCAAGGCUGUGAUUCUUGAGAUUUUAGGACGUUUCAUGAAAGAAGGCAAAAAAAAGUGCGGAUCCCAAGGAUGGCAUCCUACAGACUGGGAAAGGCCCCCCGGGAGCUGUUUGCUCCGGUGAUGGAGCGGCUACAAGGGAAGGUCAAGGGAGUGCUCCACAGAUGGUCAACAGAGAUUUCUGCAAAGUAAUUUGAUAAAGGUCUUGUGCUGUUCUUGUGAAAAGGACAGAGGUAAAGACCUCAGGGGUGAAAUGGAAAAGAGUGCAAAAACUCACUGGAGUCGGUAAUUACUUAAAAGUUAGAAUUGGGCAAAUGGAAUCUACUGAUCCCAGGAGACAUCAAGAAAUAAUAAAACAAAAUCAAGUGAAUAAAAAAAGAAAAACAAGAAAAUGUGAACUAUUUCAUUGGAAAAAACAACUGACCUGGAAAACAGAUUGAGCAGAAAGAAAAAUUUAAUAACUAUUGGAUUACCUGAAAACCAUGACCAAAAAAAGGUCUAUAUCAUAUUUCAAGAAACAAGAGAGGAAAAUUGGCCAGUAUCUCAGAUCCAGAGGAUAAAAUAGAAAGAGAAAUAAUCCACUAUCGACCCCAAAAUACAAACUUCCAGGAAUAUUAUGACCAAAUUCAAGCUCACAUGUCAAGGAGAAAAUAAAACAAGCAACCAGAAAGAAACAAUUCAAAAAUUGCGGCGCCACAGUCAGGAUCACACAAGAUUUAGCAGCUUCUACUUUAAAAUGCAGAGGGCUUGACAUGGGAUAUUCCAGAAAGUAAAAGAGCUCCGAUUACGACCAGGAAUCACCUAUUCAGUAUAAUCCUUCAGGGGAAAAAAUGGAUAUUUACUAAAAUAGAGACUUUCAAGAAUUCCUGAUGAAAAGAGUAGAGCUGAAUACAAAAUCCGGCAUUCAAAUAUAUCUCAAGAGAAGCAUUAAAAAAAGAAAACCGGAAAGAAAAAUCAUAAGAGAUUCAAUAAGGUUAACUCAUUUAACAUUCUUACAUAGCAACUUUGUAACUCCUAGCAACUAUAAUUAUUAGAGCAAUUAAGAGUUUAUAUGGACAGAAAGCACGGAUACCUC